AUAGCAUUUCCCAUGGGCAUAAAGUUCAAGCUGCUUUACCAGUUCCUUUCAGGAUCGAACUGCAGCCACAAGACGACCAUCCAAAGAAUGUAAAAAGGGAGUGUUCGGGGAAAGCGCGCAAGGAAGGCAGAAGCAACCGAAUAAACAAAAACAACACCCGCAAGAGUUAGGCACAGCAAAGAGGGAGCCAGGUCCUCUGGACCAGACCAAGCAGUUCUGAUUUCACACCGACCUCCAUCAAGAGCACUGGGAGGAGGAUCGAACAGGUCCGUCCCUCCCUCCGCCCUGGGAGCAGGCCGGGGGUGGCAAGGUCUCUGGUGUACGAGGAUUUGUGAAGGCCUGCAGUUGGCAGAAUGAAUCUGUGGAGAUGGUUUAAAAGAACGGUUUCACUGACAUGAACAUCUAGAGAGUCACAUGUCUAUGGGGAAUUGGAAUGCUGAGGAAUGGAAACAAAUGAAAAUAUAUUACACAGGUGGAACUUCAGCUGUGACCUGAAAUGUAUCACCUAAGAACUCUAUGAAGAUGAAGAAGGACCAUCUUCUCUGGGACUUGGGCUCUCACGCGUAUUAGACCCAGCCACUGAUAGGAGCUGCCGAUUUCAUGUGAAGUGAUCAGUUGCUUCUUGUGCUCUGAAGGCGCUGAUUUCCAACGACUGCAAUGUUACAUCCAUGAGUUCUUCCAGCUUUGAAACUGAGCGCUCCAAGCCAAGAAGAUCCCUUUUCUUCUGCUGCUAUGCCGGGGAAACAUUGAGAUUACUUCAGCCAAAAUAACAUUUCUGCCAGUUGACAUCCUAUCUCAGAGAGGCAGCUAAUCGUGCUAACAAAGAAAACGAUGUUUGGUCAUAAAGGAAUGUGAUGAAACUUUCGCUUUAUCUUUUUCUAUCUCAAUACCACAAUAUGGAGACGAGUUGUUUUCUUAAAGUGUUUGUCACCUGCUUUGUGAUUGUCGUUUUACUUGGCUGCCUUCUCUGCGAGACGAUAGGCUUCAUGAGGACAGUUUUCCUCCUCAUUGUAUCCUCAAUACAGUAACAUUUUUUUUGAAGAAAUGAAUAAAGACAGUCAACGCAGAAAAAGUCUUCCAGUCUAUGUUAUAGGAAUAGUGAAAUCUUUUUAGGUUAGUAAAAUGUGGGUUGAAUUGCUCAGGAAUUUUUAAUAACCAGUGUUUGUCAGCUGAAUGUAUAUUAUGGGCAAAUGUAAUACUGAAUGCAGUUAUAAGUUCUGGAAUAGGGACAAGUGUUCAGGCCACGGUGGCUAAGUGCUGUUUUUGUCCUCCAGCUUUUAUUUUUACUUCGGGUAACUCUUAGCCAGUGUUAGUCUAGGAAAUUGCCCCCUCCUUCACCCUCAGUCCCAUCUUAUUCUCCUCCCCCAGGUACACUGGGUCCUACACUGGUAGGUGAUCCUCUGUGUACCAGAGAACCGUCUUCCCGGGGCCACUGGGCUUUGUUCAGCCACAGUUCCAGCUGGUCCUGUCAGAGGAGCGUGUCCUUUCUUUGCUUUGGGGAGAAGUGAGCUGGAGCUGUGUGUGGAGUCUCUACACUGAAGCCAACAGAGGAGAAAGUGGGGAGUGGGGAGAUAGAGGGAAAGAGGGCGGGAGAUAGAGGGUCCUGAUGACAUACAUCAUUAGAGGCAAUAAAUCACCCACAACUUAACUUUUUUCUGUCAUUUGCCACAAAAAUAACUCUAACUGGUCCAGAGAAUGUGUUGUGUUACUUUGUUUUUAUCUUUGUAAAAGAAAGAAAUCAUUUCGAUGGCUCCUAGAGGAAGUGCGGUUUGGUACAUCUUGGUCUUGUUAGGAAAUUCAUUAUUUUAAUGGACCGAAAUCUCUGCCUUAGAUAUAAUGUUGGAGUUUUGGGAGCUACAGGUAACUCAGGAUGCGUGUGUGCUCUCUUCUACCUGACAGCUCCAUAUGAA